rnacentral:rRNA from 1 species
UAAUUUGAGAGUUUGAUCCUGGCUCAGGACGAACGCUGGCGGCGUGCCUAAUACAUGCAAGUCGAACUAACUCUGGUAUUGAUUGGUGCUUGCAUCAUGAUUUACAUUUGAGUGAGUGGCGAACUGGUGAGUAACACGUGGGAAACCUGCCCAGAAGUGGGGGAUAACACCUGGAAACAGAUGCUAAUACCGCAUAACAACUUAGACCGCAUGGUCCGAGUUUGAAAGAUGGCUUCGGCUAUCACUUUUGGAUGGUCCCGCGGCGUAUUAGCUAGAUGGUGAGGUAACGGCUCACCAUGGCAAUGAUACGUAGCCGACCUGAGAGGGUAAUCGGCCACAUUGGGACUGAGACACGGCCCA